ACGACAACAAAAACAUAUGGGCACCAUAUCCCAUCAGAGCUUCGCAGUUAAGUGUGCUUGGGUGAGAGUAGUACAAGGAUGAGUGAUCCUCUGAGAAGUCCUCGCGUUGGACCCC